CUUUGAAGAAUAUAUAACAAAUAUUACAACUAGUUGAAAUUGGGACUGAUAAUUUUUAUAACUAUAUAUAAAAAUAUUAUUAUUGAGAGAUUUAUAGGUGUGUAUAUUUUAUAAAAAUUAUUCAAAAUGGAAUUUAAGGAAAAAAAAGAAAAGAAAAAGAAAUUUUCAACCGAAUCCAUAGAAUGACAAAUGAGGCGGCCCAUCAGGCCCAAAAGUCUUAACCAGAGAUCUAAUUUCAGUUUGAUUUUUGUUAUCUCGCGUUCAAGCGAACUGCAAACUGCAGAGAAGAAGAAAAUGGGAAGUAGUGAUGGGAUCUUAUUCUCAGGAGUGAAAGAAAAAAAUGUAAAUAGAAAGAAAUGGCUAAAGAGAAGAGAGAGGUGGCUAGUAAUAAUAGGUGUGAUUCUUCACGCUGUUUAUAUGCUAAGUAUCUUCGAUAUCUACUUCAAGACUCCAAUUGUUCAUGGCAUGGAUCUUGUUAUGCCCCGCUUUCAUGCCCCUGCUAAACGUCUUGUCCUUCUUGUUGCGGAUGGUUUACGUGCUGAUAAGUUUUUUGAGCCGGAUUCUGAGGGAAAUCACAGAGCUCCAUUUUUGAGGGGUAUAAUAAAAACCCAAGGUAGAUGGGGAGUUUCUCAUGCUCGGCCACCUACAGAAUCAAGGCCUGGACAUGUUUCUAUAAUUGCUGGUUUCUAUGAAGAUCCUAGUGCAGUCACAAAAGGAUGGAAAGCUAAUCCAGUUGAAUUCGAUUCAGUUUUUAACAGAAGCAGACAUACAUUUGCUUAUGGUAGCCCAGAUAUUGUCCCAAUAUUCUGUGGGGCCUUGCCACACAGUACUUGGAAGACCUACCCUCAUGAGUUCGAAGACUUUGCGACUGAUGCUUCCUUUUUGGAUGAGUGGUCUUUUGAUCAAUUUCAGAGUCUCCUGAAUAGGUCCAAUGAAGAUCCACACUUGAAGGAGUUACUUCUGCAGGAUAAUCUUGUUUUCUUUUUGCAUCUACUUGGCUGUGAUUCGAAUGGCCAUGCUCAUCGGCCUUAUUCAUCAAUCUAUCUCAAUAAUGUCAAGGUUGUGGACUACGUAGCACAACGUGUUUAUGCUCUUCUUGAAGAUUAUUAUAAAGACAAUAGGACAGCAUAUGUAUUUACAGCUGAUCAUGGAAUGAGUGAUAAAGGUAGUCAUGGAGAUGGGCAUCCUUCAAACACUGAUACUCCCCUUGUUGUUUGGGGGGCAGGGGUAAAAUAUCCCAAGCCAAUCUCUGGUGCUGAUCAUUCUGAUCAUGAAUUUCGCUUUGUUGAUGAACAUGCCCCUGACAUGCCAACACCUGUAGAUUGGGGCCUGAAUGGCAUCGAAAGGGUGGAUGUGAAUCAAGCUGAUAUUGCACCGCUCAUGUCGACGCUUCUUGGUUUACCAUGUCCUGUCAACUCUGUUGGAAAUUUACCACUUGGAUAUACUGAUAUGAUUGAGCAGGCAGAAGAAGUUGAAGCUGUGUUAGCCAAUACAAAGCAAAUCCUCAACCAGUUUCUUCGCAAAUCACAAAUAAAACAGUCAAGCUCAUUAUAUUUCAAGCCGUUUAAACCACUGACUCAGUAUUCCUCUAUGCUGGAAAACAUUGAACAUUUAAUAUCGGCAAGAGACUAUCAAAAUGCAAUGACGCUGGCUCAAAAGCUCAGAACCUUGGCGCUGCAAGGACUUCAUUACUUUCAAACAUAUGACUGGCUGAUGUUGAUGACUGUAAUUACUCUUGGGUAUCUUGGUUGGAUGGUCUGUCUCAUUCUCCAUGUGCUCCAAUCAUAUACUUCAUUGGCAGAAAACAUUUUCAAGGAGCAAGCUGCACAGACAAAAAAUAAAACUGGAAAAGUGUAUCUCUUUGGGGGUCUCUUGAUGGGAGUAAUCUCUGUUCUAUUAUUUGUGGAGCACUCUCCCCCUCUAUAUCAUGCAUAUAUUGCAAUGACUGUGUUUCUUUGGACCCAGAUACUCGGUGAACAUCAGUUUUUAAAAGCACUAUGCAGACACUUAAGUGGGAGAAAAUUCAUUUUCGCAAUUAAGCUUUUUGCUGUCUGUGCUGUAUCAAUAGCAAUCGUUGAAUUUCUGGUGAAUAGCUUCACAGAGAGGAAACUUUACACCUGGUGCUUCUUAAUUGUUGGAAUUAUAGCCUUUCUUUAUCUUUUCAAAUCAAUUCCAUGGAGAUCCGGGAUACCAAUUUUUGUUUGCAUUGCGUGUUGGUGUCUGUCUGUUUUUACUUUGAUGCCAGCAGAAAUUCCAGAUAAUAAUGAACUAGUAAUUGCAAGUGGAGUUAUUAUUAUCACGAUCGGAAUAGCUGCAAGGUGGCUGGAUCAGCAUUCUGAAGGAAAUAAGUAUUGGUUAAGUAUCUGUAAUCAUGAAGCAGAGAAACCCAGAUUCCGAAUGUUAUUUUACGUACAGGCUCUUUUGGUUGGACUAUCAUCAAUUAUGGUGUCAUUAUCAACUUCUUACAGAACAAAGAAGCGAGAACUACAUACAGUACACCAGCUAAUAAAUUGGUCUCUUGCUGGUUUCUCAAUGGUUCUCCCACUUUUCUCAGAGAAUGGUGUAUUGCCACGGCUUACUUCGAUCUUUUUGGGUUUUGCACCCACAUUCCUUCUUCUAUCUAUAGGAUAUGAAGCUGUUUUCUAUGCUGCACUUUCUCUUGUACUUGUGGCAUGGAUUUUAUUUGAAAACACACUUCUCCACUUAAUGAAGGCGAAAAAAUUGUCGGCUACCAUUAGAAACAUGGAAGAACAUGCUACACUUGAAAAUGAUAGAUGCUUGCAGCUUUCUGAUGUGAGAAUACCAUUAACUUUUAUGGUUCUAUUUAAUGUUGCUUUCUUCGGAACGGGGAAUUUUGCAAGUAUUGCAAGUUUUGAGAUUUCAUCUGUCUAUAGGUUCAUAACUAUCUUCAGCCCUUUUCUGAUGGCAGGCCUUCUUAUUUUCAAGCUAUUCAUACCAUUCAUGCUUGUCAUAUGUGUUUUCAGUGCAAUAACUAAACUACUUCAAGUUCCACGGUUGGGAUGUUAUUUUCUCGUGAUUUUAUUUUCAGACGUGAUGACUAUUCACUUCCUCUUCCUGGUCCGAAAUACGGGAAGCUGGAUGGAAAUUGGUAACAGCAUUAGCCAUUUCGGAAUUAUGAGUGCCCAAGUUGUCUUUGUGCUGUUACUUUUUGCCAUCACAAAUAUAUACACAAAAGACAUCCAAAUUAGAUCAGAUAGCUCAGCCUCUAGGAAAGCAGCCUAAGUGACUUGAAAUUGGAAAUUCUUGAAUAUCAUAAUCAGCAGCCUGCAUGUCCUUUGAGGUUUUGGCAAGCUUUUAAACAAGUCAUUUAGCUAAAGUUAAAAGAAAACGAUGGUCUUGUUACAAUAUUGGGCUGCAGUUCUUCUUAGAUUUGAUUGAAAUGAAACUUCUCCAGAAAGUUCUGUAGGCUUAUUUGCACGUAUCUUGGCAAGGCAAAUCAAAUCAAGCUGCUGAGAAUUGAUGCCUUGUUUAUUUAUUUUAAUUAUUUCAAUUCGCUCUAAGGCCUUCUUGUUUUUGUUAUAUGGUAAAUUUUUAAAGAGCAGAGAGCUAAUGACUGAACACCUGACAUUCUGUAUCCUAAUGCUCGCUACUGAGCAUUGGCUUUAUGGCUUUAAAGGGUUUCUUUGGCUAGAAAAAGGAAAAGAAAAAGAAGUCUUCCAACUUUAUUGCUUUUUAUACCUUUCUUCAAUUUUUCUUUUUUCUAAUUCCCCGUUUUAAUUUUUAUCAGCUAGGAUAUAGACUUAUUAUGGUUCUACGAUAAUUAGGAGUCAUGAAGAUUCCUUCCAUCCAUUCAAGAAAGUAAUAUAUUUUUAAUAUUUCACUUUUCCCUAACACACUGCCGAGUUGGGCGUCAAUUUACUUAUUGAAAGACUCAUUUUCCCGUUUGCCCUUUCUUCAUUCUGCUGACUUUGCAUGGGGCAAUCAGAGGUUCCUUCAAAAUAGUGGGGCAAUUUU